rnacentral:rRNA from 1 species
CCAGAGAAUAAACGCAGCUGGGAAACGGCGUCUAAUACUGGGAUAUGUGACGUGACCGCAUGGUCUGCGUUUGGAAAGAUUUUUCGGUUGGGGAUGGGCUCGCGGCCUAUCAGCUUGUUGGUGAGGUAAUGGCUCACCAAGGCGUCGACGGGUAGCCGGCCUGAGAGGGUGACCGGCCACACUGGGACUGAGACACGGCCCAGACUCCUACGGGAGGCAGCAGUGGGGAAUAUUGCACAAUGGGCGCAAGCCUGAUGCAGCAACGCCGCGUGAGGGAUGACGGCCUUCGGGUUGUAAACCUCUUUUAGCAGGGAAGAAGCGAAAGUGACGGUACCUGCAGAAAAAGCGCCGGCUAACUACGUGCCAGCAGCCGCGGUAAUACGUAGGGCGCAAGCGUUAUCCGGAAUUAUUGGGCGUAAAGAGCUCGUAGGCGGUUUGUCGCGUCUGCUGUGAAAUCCCGAGGCUCAACCUCGGGCCUGCAGUGGGUACGGGCAGACUAGAGUGCGGUAGGGGAGAUUGGAAUUCCUGGUGUAGCGGUGGAAUGCCCAGAUAUCAGGAGGAACACCGAUGGCGAAGGCAUAUCUCUGGGCCGUAACUGACGCUAAGGAGCGAAAGGGUGGGGAGCAAACAGGCUUAGAUACCCUGGUAGUCCACCCCGUAAACGUUGGGAACUAGUUGUGGGGUCCAUUCCACGGAUUCCCUGACGCAGCUAACGCAUUAAGUUCCCCGCCUGGGGAGUACGGCCGCCAGGCUAAAACUCACAGGAAUUUGAUG